AAAUGACGGGUGAAAAUGUGACAUAAAAAUAUGACAGAUAGGAUCGGCGGUGUUCUGUAAAUUACAAAGCAUGUAAUUACUCUCUUGUUAAGUAUAAUACGUUUUAUUCAAAGAAGAAUCACGUCGAUCGCAUUUGACGAAUUCUAAUAAAAGUACCUAAGAAUAUUUAAUGUUUUCAACAAUGGUACCUAAUUGGGAUGAUACAAAACGGUUAGAGUCGCUACGUUUCUUAACAUCGGAGUUGUGGCGUUAUUCGUUUGAGGAGCGUUUCUAUGUGACCGUCCAGAUGGCUAUGUAUAGGUUUCGGUGCGUUCAAUACGAGUUGAAUAAAGAGGCGGACCUACAUUGGAGCGAACACGAGUUUCGCAACUAAUUAUAAUUAAUUCACUCGAAGGUUUUAUGAAGGCAAUAGUGUCGUUAAUAUGUAAACUGCCCACGAAUUAUUUACGUCUGUUAAUAAGUUUUGAGACGUGUGGGUGUAGAGCUCUGAGCUAUCAUUAAGUAUUUAAAUGAAGCCUGUUUUGAUUGUUACAGAAUUUAAGCGUUCUUUGUUUUGUUGAAAAUUAAUAAAUUGACAAACGAUUUUUUAUAUUCGGCUACCUGUUUUUUGAUUGAAAUUUAUUGAAGGAAAAUUAAUUUUAUUUCGAUCGGUUGUUCUUUCUAUUCAUUUUAAUAUAGAUUUAUGAAAGAACUAUAAGUUUCGCUCAGGUUUUAAACGUUAGUUUUUAUAACAACAAAUGUUUUAACAAAAUCUAACUUACCUAUAGCCUCCAUUAUGCCAUGCUCUAGAAUCUAGAAGAAUCUAAAUAAGUACACAAAUACAUAAACAAGAGAUAUUAAACCGUUGUUUUGAAUAAAUCAAGUGUAAAUA